ensembl:lncRNA
GCUCAGCCAGCUUUUUAGGUGCCUAUUGUGCAGGCUGCCUUCUAUGCCCAGUGGGAUAUCUGUGAUACUGUUGUGUUAAUGUGCUUCAGCUUUCUGCAGUUUUUACUGCCACAUUUUCCUCCUCUGGCUGCAAUCAACCUGAAGUUUCUGGUGUGUCAGUGGAAUAAAAGAGAAAGAGGUGGGAUGUAUAUAGCAAGCCAGACUGGAAGUAGAGUAAUAACAAAGUGUAUCUGGAGAUUAAUUGCAAGAAGAAUGGGACUGCAAAUCCCUGAACUCCAACACCUUGAGUUCUAUCUCCAAUCUAAAUCUGAAUGCUGUACAAGUCAUACAUAAAGGAUGGUUAAGGAAGUGAGGACCUUCCUAUAGUAAGCCAUAAAAAAUGGUGAAUGAUGAGUGUUCAUGUGUGGCUACAGGACUUUUCUCUGCUGUAAAGAAAAAAAGCUAAUUUAUAGGAUAUUUUCAGAAGAAACAGCAGCUAAGCAGAGCCCCCGUGCAGCCCAGAAGCUCAGCAUGGGCCUGUCUAAGCCUAUAUGCUGUAAUGGGGGUGCCAUGCAGCCUCUUCAGGACCUACCCAUGGCUGCCUUCCUAAUGGGAGUUCAACUUCUUUGUGAGGGAAGGAAGAGGGAAGAGACGGAAAGCUGCUAGGGGUGAAGGUGUGGUAGCUGAUAGCCUGCUCUGAAAGGUCUAAUAUGAACAGUAGCUUCUUCUGAGCCCAUGCUCCACCCUACCAUACACUGCCAGAACAGGCGAAAUGCUGGAAGCUUCAGGGUAACUCUCCCAGUUCAACUCAAGGCACCAUCUCCAGGACCUUUGCAACAGAGAAUCCUGUGUCUGUCCAGACAGCAACUGACCAUCCAGUUUAACAUUUUGAUUCCCCAAGUGAGUGUUACCCUGUGUCAAGGGCUUGUUAAUUUAUUUAACAAACAAUCUCUCCAUGGACAUUUAUUCAGUAAUAUGAUAUAUGUACUUACAAAGACACCAACCCACUAUGAAACUGCAAUUCUACUUAAGACACAUCGGUGGGAAAAAGCCCAGGGCAUCCAUCUGCAGCUGCUUUAAUAAAGUAUUCAUUACUAUAUUGCCACUGAACUUGGUAUUCACAUAUUAAGAUCUCCCUACCAAAAGGAAAGAUAUUCUCUUCCUCUUUCACCAGUGCUGAGACCUUUUGUGGAAGCAGCAGUGACUUCUUUUUUCCAAAGAUGCAUAUACCUACAGUGGAUCGAAAACACAACAUCAUACCAGAAACUGUGAAGAAAACCAACUCUGUCCCAGAUGAAAUAAGGCCAAUUGGAGUAGAUGUGGAAGAUUUCUUUAGGAAAGAUAACGAACCCACAGUCAUGCUAAGCCAGCAGGAGGAGUAAGGGAGUAUCCUCAGCACUGGGUCUGCACUUUGGCAGGUUGCUUUGCAUUUUAAGAACUGGGUUAUCCUUCAGAUCCUGACUAGGAAGUAGCAGCCGGUGGAUGUCAGUUAAUACUUCAUGAGCACUGAGUGGUGGCUACUCUAGCACCUGCAACUUGCAUCAGCUGCAGCCUAUUGCCCGAUAAUUAGUGACAAUAUUGAAGGAUGGUCAUCUGAUAACAAGAAGUCAUUUGCAUAACCAUAAGCUGCCUGCUGGAAUUAAAGAGCCUCUUUCCUUGCAAAUCCAUUAUAAACGGACAUAAACUAAAAGACUGGGUUUAGCUUUUCAAAGCUACCUAAGGGAUUCCUAGCUUUGAAAAUCUCAGCCAAAAUGUGUACUGCUGUAAAUGAGAACAAAGCAAUUUACUGUGUAUUGGCAUGGGGAGAAAAAAAAUAGUGUGUGUAAAUAAUUUAGAAGUGAGGCUGCUCUUUGGAGGGCUAGCUAUAUUAGCUUUAUGAUAAUAGCUUUUCUCUUGAACAUUGCUGCAAAUUGCCACAUUGUAAUAACAGUUCAUCUGGACCUAAGAAAUGCCCAUAUACUUUGAUGUGCAGCCGUGUCCUUUCUUAACCAGAGAACUAGGGAAGUGAAAAGAUGUGGUGCCUGUUGUGAGAUAAAUGUUUGUGUCUUUGUUUCAGACUCUACAGUGAGAAUCUGGGAAGCUGUAAGGGUCAGAAAUGAUAAAAAUUGGAAUUUUUUGCUUGGGUGGUGGUUUGGGCUAUACCCAGAAGUUGCAGUUCUUCUUGAAGGUCUUCAAAACUGUUUUGACUGAUGAGUGUUUUCCCCUCAAAAGCCAAGAGUCAAGAUUGGGAUGUGUUUUGAAUUGAUUCCAACACUCUGUGGCCCAGGUUUCUUUCCGUAUGAUGAGACAUUGAAUUUUAAUGGAC